UGAUUGUACUUCACUUUGAAAGAUACAGCAUCGUAAAAUGUCAUUCUUUCUUUGCUUAUACAAAGCAUCACCAAUCAUUGUAUACGGUGCACUUCUCAAAAUUAAACGUUUCUUAAGGUUUUCGCUAAAUAUACAUAGAAAUAUUUGGAAUGUCAAAAAUUGAAUUAUUUCACUAUACUUUGGUGAAAUCAGAUCCAUUGCAAAUAAAUCAACAUCAGGAAGUAUAUCAAGAAUAAGUUCAUUGCCCAUGAUAUUAGACAACGGAGAUAAAUGGUCAGUAUUUGCAUGGUUCUUCUUAGGUCUUACGAUAAUAGUAAAAUUGAA
rnacentral:lncRNA from 1 species